AUGGUGAGGAGGAGAUGGAGGAACAAAGAGGGCUCCGUGGGGAACCUCACAGGGCUGCACCCUGCAAGCCCCCAGCCUAGGUGGAGCUGCUCCUGCCCCACUGCUGCUGCGGGUCCCAUCCAGCCGCUCCCUCCCAGCCCCGCCCCUGCCAGCCAGUCUCCCUUUGGCAUUCAGCCACAUCUCUGCCCCUCCGUUUCUUGCUUUUCUUUUUUGAAAUGUAUUUCCGUUUUGCUGUGGGUCUCUGCGGUCUCCCUGUGCGACUCCGUCCACGCCUUUUCCAGCUUUUCCUCCCUGCCUCCUCCUAACUCACUCUUCUCUCAUCUUUUUGUUUCUCUAUGUUUUGCUUUGUCUCUCUCAGCCUGUCUUCCCAUCUCUCUCCGUGUGUGUGUGUGUGUGUGUGUGUGUGUGUGUGUGUGUGACUUAUGUUUCUUGCUCUGUCUUGCCUCGUUCCCCAUCCCACUUAUUCUUUUUGCUUGUCUCUCUGUCUCUGACUCUGCAUCUGUCUGUAUCAGUCUCUCUAUAUGUGCAUCUCUGUGUCUCUUUCCGUUUCUGUCUCUGUGUCUCUGUCUCUUUCUCUGUAUCUCACUGUCUCUGUCUUCAUGUUCCUGCGUUUCUACCUCUGUCUUCUGUCUCUGCGUUUCCGUCUCUCUGUGUUUAUCUCUGUGUCUUUCUGUCUCUGUGUGUCUGUCUUCAUGUCGCUGUGUUUCUGGGUCUCUGUCUCUCUGUGUCUCUAGCUUCCUCUCUCUGUAUCUCUGUGUCUCUGUCUUUGUCUCCAUCUCUAUAUCUUUGUGUCUCUGUCCCUGUGUCUCAGUCUGUGUCUCUGUGUCUCUGUCUGUGUCUCAGUCUCUAUGUCUCCAUGUCUGUAUCUCUGUCUCUGUGUCUUCUCUGUGUCUCUGUCUCUGUGUCUGUGUCCCUGGCUUCCUGUGUGUCUCUGCCCGCCUCACCCUUGAGGUUCCCUGCCCCCUGCUCUCUGCAUGGCCUCCUGUCUCUGCUUUCUGUUGUCCCUGCUUCCAUCUGUUUCCUUUUUGGUCCCUGUCUCUUUGUCCUCAGUCUUUCCCAAGUUUGCAUUGA
rnacentral:lncRNA from 1 species